GUGCUCACUUUGGCAGCACACAUACUGCAGUAGGAACAAUCUAGAGAAGAUCAGUGUUGCCCCUGCACAGAGGACAUGUACAUUUGUGAAAGGAUCUGUGUGUGU
ensembl:snRNA U6 U6 spliceosomal RNA